ACCCAGAUGAAGAGUCCCAAAUAAGACGAAACACGCAUCCUGGAU
rnacentral:hammerhead_ribozyme from 1 species